GUAGUCAUAUGCUUGUCUCAAAGAUUAAGCCAUGCAUGUCUAAGUAUAAGCAACUUUGUACUGUGAAACUGCGAAUGGCUCAUUAAAUCAGUUAUAGUUUAUUUGAUGGUUUUUGCUACAUGGAUAACUGUGGUAAUUCUAGAGCUAAUACAUGCAUUCAAGCCCCGACUUCUGGAAGGGGUGUAUUUAUUAGAUAAAAAUCAACUUUGUUGGUGAAUCAUAAUAACUUCUCGGACCGCAUGGCCUCGUGCUGGCGGUGCUUCAUUCAAAUAUCUGCCCUAUCAACUGUCGAUGGUAGGAUAGAGGCCUACCAUGGUUGCAACGGGUAACGGGGAAUA
rnacentral:rRNA from 1 species